rnacentral:rRNA from 1 species
AGUGAACGCUGGCGGUAGGCCUAACACAUGCAAGUCGAACGGCAGCACAGUAAGAGCUUGCUCUUACGGGUGGCGAGUGGCGGACGGGUGAGGUAUACAUCGGAAUCUACUUUUUCGUGGGGGAUAACGUAGGGAAACUUACGCUAAUACCGCAUACGACCUACGGUUGAAAGCAGGGGAUCUUCGGACCUUGCGCGAUUGAAUGAGCCGAUGUCGGAUUAGCUAGUUGGCGGGGUAAAGGCCCACCAAGGCGACGCUCCGUAGCUGGUCUGAGAGGAUGAUCAGCCACACUGGAACUGAGACACGGUCCAGACUCCUACGGGAGGCAGCAGUGGGGAAUAUUGGACAAUGGGCGCAAGCCUGAUCCAGCCAUACCGCGUGGGUGAAGAAGGCCUUCGGGUUGUAAAGCCCUUUUGUUGGGAAAGAAAGGCAGCAGGUUAAUACCCCGCUGUUCUGACGGUACCCAAAGAAUAAGCACCGGCUAACUUCGUG